rnacentral:rRNA from 1 species
UUUGGCUGUUCGCCAAUUAAAGCGGUACGUGAGCUGGGUUCAGAACGUCGUAAGACAGUUCGGUCCCUAUCCUCCGUGGGCGUAGGAAAUUUGAGGGGUGCUAUUCCUAGUACGAGAGGACCGGAAUGGACGAACCUCUAGUGUACCAGUUGUUCCGCCAGGAGCACUGCUGGGUAGCUAUGUUCGGAAGGGAUAACCGCUGAAAGCAUCUAAGUGGGAAGCCCACCCCAAGACGAGAUUUCCCUUCUGCCGUAAGGCAGACUGAAGGAACCUGGGAGAUUACCAGGUAAUAGGCCAGAGGUGUAAGUAUGGCAACAUAUUCAGCCGACUGGUACUAAUAAGCCGUGAGGUUUGACAUA